UGCCUGUUUAACAAAAACAUUUCUAUUAGAUAUAAUUAAUAGUAUAAUCUGCUCAAUGAAAUUAAAUAGCCGCAAUUCUGUGCUAAGGUAGCAUAAUCAUUUGUCUUUUAAUUGAAGACUAGAACAAAAGAUUGAACAUUUUAAUUUAUUUAUUUUUUAAAAUAAUAAAAAUUAUUUUAAAUGUAAAAAAACAUUUAUUAAAAAGAAAGACGACAAGACCCUAUUGAACUUAACUUAAGUUAAACUGGGGCAGUUAAUUAAUUAAUAUUUUAAAUAAAAUAAUUUAAAAAAAUGACCUAAUACAAUUAAUUUUAUGAAAAAGUUACCAUAGGGAUAACAGCGUAAUAAUAAUUUAAAGCUCUUAUUAAAAUAAAUUUUUGCGACCUCGAUGUUGAAUUAAUUACCUAAUAAAUAACGCAAUAGUUAAUAAAGGAAGUCUGUUCGACUUUUAAAAAAUUACGUGAUCUGAGUUCA
rnacentral:rRNA from 1 species